rnacentral:lncRNA from 1 species
CUCAACGUGACAACGUACGUUGUUGUUUCAGAAACAACUUACAGUAAUUCACAGUCGAACGCAUCUUUGAGUUUUAUACAAACUGAUUUUACGAGCAAAUAAAAUAUUUAUACUUAUUUCAGGUUUCUUGGAGAUGUAGACAAAUGCAUGGUGUUGUGGAUUAAUACCAACAUAAAAAUUGAGCGAGCGAAACAUGAAUACCAACAUAGUCAAUCGACAUAUGGUCUACAAACUCGGGAAACCGAGUUCAGCUUAGAUCAGUGGUUCAGCUACGAUUUUAUGGCCUUUUAUGUUGAGAUGUCUUCACCAUGUACAAAUCUUUUGAAUUUUUGCUUAUUUCAAUCCUGGAUGUCAACAGCACGGAGAGAGAUUAAGGAGUGUUUCCACCAGGUAUGCUUGCGUUUGGAUGAUUGCUUCAUUAUGCCAAAAAUUCGUUUUCUGUAUAACAAAGAACAGAAAAUAGAACAAAGACUGGACGAAUUUUUAGACCACAUCUUGAUUGACUAUGAGGUAACCUUGGCCAUAUAUAUAAUGACGGCUGCAUCAUGUGUAUGCAUAUAUUAUCAACUAAAAACAGAAAUUUCAAAAUGAUCAUAAGAACCAAUGAUAAAUUUGUACUAAUACUUUGGAAACAAAAUGCAACUGUUAUUAAAGCUGAUUAAACUAACAAA